rnacentral:lncRNA from 10 species
GCCUGGGCAACAUAGGGCAACCCCGUCUCUGCUAAAAUUUAAAAACCCAAUGUGGUAGCACGGGCCUGCGAUCCCAGCUACUAGGGAGCUGAGGUGGUAGGAUUCCUUCAGUCUGGAAUGUCGAAGCUGGAUCAUGCCACUUGCACUGCAGCCUGGCUGACACAGUGAGACCCUGUCUCCAAAGAAAAUAAAUUUAACCAGACAUAAAAAAUAAUAAUUAGGAAAUGGUUGCUUUUCUUUGGAGAUGGAGAGAGGAAGUGGGCAAGUUGUCAUUUACCAUGCCCUCAUAUAUUUGGUCUUAAAUGACUGGGCUUUAGUAUAUAUUAAUAUAUAAGGUAUAACCUAAAAAUCUCAUGUAAAAGCUUAGUAGCAUUGUUGUAACAGUAACAUAUUUCAUUGUACUUCAGGACUGUCCAUGGAUGCAGUGUUACCAUCGAGGAGCUCGAGGCCGAGGUCGACUCUGGCACCCUGAUGACAAGUCUGGAGAUUCAGCAGUAGAAAGAAAGCAGGAAAGUGGUAUUAGCCAUAGAAAAGAAGAGGAGAGGCCGGGCGUGGUGGCUCAUGCCUGUAAUCCCAGCAUUUUGGGAGGCCGAUAUGGGUGGAUCACCUGAGGUCAGGACUUUGAGACCAGCCUGGCCAACAUGGUGAAACCCAGUCUCUACUAAAACUACAAAAAUUAGCCGGGCUUGGUGGCAGGCGCCUGUAGUCCCAGGUACUCGAGAGGCUGAGGCAGGAGAAUUGAUUAAACUCAGGAGGUGGAGGUUGCAGUAAGCCAUGAUCGUGCCACUGCACUCUAGCCUGGGUGACACUAGGGAGGCUCUAUCUCCAAAAAAAUUAAAAAAAAAUAAAGAGGAGAGGAGUACGCAGCAGAAGAGUAAGUUUUGUCUCAAAGAAGGAAUCUGGUCGGAGGUUCAGAAUUGGAAGUACAAUUUUAUUGUUUUUGCAAUUUCUAUAAAUUAAAGUGUCAGAAAAUGCUGAUGGCGAGGACAUGCAUUGCAAUUUGCAGGGGAAAUGUCAAGUGAGGACUUCAUCACGUGUGACACGAGAGAAAAAAUCAUCCAGGGAUGCAGCGUUACCAUCCAGGAGCUCGAAGCCAAGGUCGACUCUCGCACCCUGAUGACAUAACCAAGUCUGGAGAUUCAGCAGUAGAAAGAAAGCAGGAAAGUUGUAUUAGCCAUACAAAAGAAGAGGAGAGGCUGGGUGUGAUGGUUCACGCCUGUAAUCCCAGCACCUUGGGAGGCCGAGGCGGGUGGAUUACCUGAGGUCAGGAGUUUGAGACCAGCCUGGUC